UACGGAGGGUGCAAGCGUUAUCCGGAUUCACUGGGUUUAAAGGGUGCGUAGGCGGGCAGGUAAGUCAGUGGUGAAAUCUCCGGGCUUAACCCGGAAACUGCCGUUGAGACUAUCUGUCUUGAAUAUCGUGGAGGUAAGCGGAAUAUGUCAUGUAGCGGUGAAAUGCUUAGAUAUGACAUAGAACACCGAUUGCGAAGGCAGCUUACUACACGAUCAUUGACGCUGAGGCACGAAGGCGUGGGGAGCAAACAGG
rnacentral:rRNA from 1 species